rnacentral:rRNA from 1 species
UUAAUAGGUCCGCCGUUGUUAAAACGGGGAAAGGAAGGGCUACGGCGGAUCAGUAUGCCCCGAAACUCUGGGGCCACACGCGGGCUGCAAUGGUAGCGACAAUGAGGUUCCAAACUCGAAAGAGAGUGGCAAUCCCUAAACGCUACCACAGUUAUGACUGAGGGCUGCAACUCGCCCUCACGAAUAUGGAAUCCCUAGUAACCGCGUGUCAUUACCGCGCGGUGAAUACGUCCCUGCUCCUU